ACCUGGCUGUCCAGUGGUUAGGACUCUGCAUUUCCACUGCAGGGGGCUUGGGUUCGAUACCUAGUCAGGGA
rnacentral:tRNA from 1 species